rnacentral:rRNA from 1 species
AAGAGUUUGAUCAUGGCUCAGAUUGAACGCUGGCGGCAUGCUUAAUACAUGCAAGUCGAACGGUAACAGGUUCUUCGGAAUGCUGACGAGUGGCGGACGGGUGAGUAAUGCAUAGGAAUCUGCCCAUGUAGUGGGGGAUAACUUGGGGAAACUCAAGCUAAUACCGCAUAAUUCCUGGAGAAAGAGGGCCUAUACUUGUAAGCUCUUGCUAUUGGAUGAGCCUAUGUCGGAUUAGUUAGUUGGUGAGGUAAUGGCUUACCAAGACUACAAUCCGUAGCUGGUUUGAGAGGAUGAUCAGCCACACUGGGACUGAGACACGGCCCAGACUCCUACGGGAGGCAGCAGUAGGGAGUAUUGGACAAUGGGCGCAAGCCUGAUCCAGCAAUGCCGCGUGUGUGAAGAAGGCCUGCGGGUUGUAAAGCACUUUUGUUUGGGAGGAAAAGCUUAAGGUUAAUACCUUUUAGUUUUGACGUUACCAACAGAAGAAGCACCGGCUAACUCUGUGCCAGCAGCCGCGGUAAUACAGAGGGUGCGAGCGUUAAUCGGAAUUACUGGGCGUAAAGCGUGCGUAGGCGGCCCAGUCAGUCGGAUGUGAAAGCCCAAGGCUUAACCUUGGAACAGCAUUCGAUACUGCUUGGCUAGAGUACAGUAGAGGGAAGCGGAAUUCCAUGUGUAGCGGUGAAAUGCGUAGAUAUAUGGAGGAACACCAGUGGCGAAGGCGGCUUCUUGGGCUGAUACUGACGCUGAGGUACGAAAGCGUGGGGAGCAAACAGGAUUAGAUACCCUGGUAGUCCACGCCCUAAACGAUGAGAACUAGAUGUUGGGGGAGUUUUGUCCCUUAGUAUCGUAGUUAACGCGAUAAGUUCUCCGCCUGGGGAGUACGACCGCAAGGUUAAAACUCAAAUGAAUUGACGGGGGCCCGCACAAGCGGUGGAGCAUGUGGUUUAAUUCGAUGCAACGCGAAGAACCUUACCUGGAUUUGACAUCCUCGGAACUUUCCAGAGAUGGAUUAGUGCCUUCGGUAUCCAAGAGACAGGUGCUGCAUGGCUUUCGUCAGCUCGUGUCGUGAGAUGUUGGGUUAAGUCCCGCAACGAGCGCCACCCCUCUCUCUAGUUGCCAGCGAUUCGGUCGGGGGACUCUAAGGAGACUGCCGGUGUUAAGCCGGAGGAAGGUGGGGAUGACGUCAAGUCCUCAUGGCCUUUAUAUCCAGGGCUACACACGUGCUACAAUGGAUAAUACAGAGGGUUGCGAACCCGUAAGGAGGAGCUAAUCUCAGAAAAUUAUUCGUAGUCCGGAUUGGAGUCUGCAACUCGACUCCAUGAAGUCGGAAUCGCUAGUAAUCGCGAAUCAGCAUGUCGCGGUGAAUACGUUCCCGGGCCUUGUACACACCGCCCGUCACACCAUGGGAGUGGGUUUGUACCAGAAGUAGGUAGUCUAACCGCAAGGAGGACGCUUACCACGGUAUGGUUCAUGACUGGGGUGAAGUCGUAACAAGGUAGCCAAGGGCGAA